GGGUUGUGAGGUUAAGCGACUAAGCGUACACGGUGGAUGCCCUGGCAGUCAGAGGCGAUGAAGGACGUGCUAAUCUGCGAUAAGCGUCGGUAAGGUGAUAUGAACCGUUAUAACCGGCGAUUUCCGAAUGGGGAAACCCAGUGUGUUUCGACACACUAUCAUUAACUGAAUCCAUAGGUUAAUGAGGCGAACCGGGGGAACUGAAACAUCUAAGUACCCCGAGGAAAAGAAAUCAACCGAGAUUCCCCCAGUAGCGGCGAGCGAACGGGGAGCAGCCCAGAGCCUGAAUCAGUGUGUGUGUUAGUGGAAGCGUCUGGAAAGGCGCGCGAUACAGGGUGACAGCCCCGUACACAAAAAUGCACAUGCUGUGAGCUCGAUGAGUAGGGCGGGACACGUGGUAUCCUGUCUGAAUAUGGGGGGACCAUCCUCCAAGGCUAAAUACUCCUGACUGACCGAUAGUGAACCAGUACCGUGAGGGAAAGGCGAAAAGAACCCCGGCGAGGGGAGUGAAAAAGAACCUGAAACCGUGUACGUACAAGCAGUGGGAGCACGCUUAGGCGUGUGACUGCGUACCUUUUGUAUAAUGGGUCAGCGACUUAUAUUCUGUAGCAAGGUUAACCGAAUAGGGGAGCCGAAGGGAAACCGAGUCUUAACUGGGCGUUAAGUUGCAGGGUAUAGACCCGAAACCCGGUGAUCUAGCCAUGGGCAGGUUGAAGGUUGGGUAACACUAACUGGAGGACCGAACCGACUAAUGUUGAAAAAUUAGCGGAUGACUUGUGGCUGGGGGUGAAAGGCCAAUCAAACCGGGAGAUAGCUGGUUCUCCCCGAAAGCUAUUUAGGUAGCGCCUCGUGAAUUCAUCUCCGGGGGUAGAGCACUGUUUCGGCAAGGGGGUCAUCCCGACUUACCAACCCGAUGCAAACUGCGAAUACCGGAGAAUGUUAUCACGGGAGACACACGGCGGGUGCUAACGUCCGUCGUGAAGAGGGAAACAACCCAGACCGCCAGCUAAGGUCCCAAAGUCAUGGUUAAGUGGGAAACGAUGUGGGAAGGCCCAGACAGCCAGGAUGUUGGCUUAGAAGCAGCCAUCAUUUAAAGAAAGCGUAAUAGCUCACUGGUCGAGUCGGCCUGCGCGGAAGAUGUAACGGGGCUAAACCAUGCACCGAAGCUGCGGCAGCGACACUAUGUGUUGUUGGGUAGGGGAGCGUUCUGUAAGCCUGUGAAGGUGUGCUGUGAGGCAUGCUGGAGGUAUCAGAAGUGCGAAUGCUGACAUAAGUAACGAUAAAGCGGGUGAAAAGCCCGCUCGCCGGAAGACCAAGGGUUCCUGUCCAACGUUAAUCGGGGCAGGGUGAGUCGACCCCUAAGGCGAGGCCGAAAGGCGUAGUCGAUGGGAAACAGGUUAAUAUUCCUGUACUUGGUGUUACUGCGAAGGGGGGACGGAGAAGGCUAUGUUGGCCGGGCGACGGUUGUCCCGGUUUAAGCGUGUAGGCUGGUUUUCCAGGCAAAUCCGGAAAAUCAAGGCUGAGGCGUGAUGACGAGGCACUACGGUGCUGAAGCAACAAAUGCCCUGCUUCCAGGAAAAGCCUCUAAGCAUCAGGUAACAUCAAAUCGUACCCCAAACCGACACAGGUGGUCAGGUAGAGAAUACCAAGGCGCUUGAGAGAACUCGGGUGAAGGAACUAGGCAAAAUGGUGCCGUAACUUCGGGAGAAGGCACGCUGAUAUGUAGGUGAGGUCCCUCGCGGAUGGAGCUGAAAUCAGUCGAAGAUACCAGCUGGCUGCAACUGUUUAUUAAAAACACAGCACUGUGCAAACACGAAAGUGGACGUAUACGGUGUGACGCCUGCCCGGUGCCGGAAGGUUAAUUGAUGGGGUUAGCGCAAGCGAAGCUCUUGAUCGAAGCCCCGGUAAACGGCGGCCGUAACUAUAACGGUCCUAAGGUAGCGAAAUUCCUUGUCGGGUAAGUUCCGACCUGCACGAAUGGCGUAAUGAUGGCCAGGCUGUCUCCACCCGAGACUCAGUGAAAUUGAACUCGCUGUGAAGAUGCAGUGUACCCGCGGCAAGACGGAAAGACCCCGUGAACCUUUACUAUAGCUUGACACUGAACAUUGAGCCUUGAUGUGUAGGAUAGGUGGGAGGCUUUGAAGUGUGGACGCCAGUCUGCAUGGAGCCGACCUUGAAAUACCACCCUUUAAUGUUUGAUGUUCUAACGUUGACCCGUAAUCCGGGUUGCGGACAGUGUCUGGUGGGUAGUUUGACUGGGGCGGUCUCCUCCUAAAGAGUAACGGAGGAGCACGAAGGUUGGCUAAUCCUGGUCGGACAUCAGGAGGUUAGUGCAAUGGCAUAAGCCAGCUUGACUGCGAGCGUGACGGCGCGAGCAGGUGCGAAAGCAGGUCAUAGUGAUCCGGUGGUUCUGAAUGGAAGGGCCAUCGCUCAACGGAUAAAAGGUACUCCGGGGAUAACAGGCUGAUACCGCCCAAGAGUUCAUAUCGACGGCGGUGUUUGGCACCUCGAUGUCGGCUCAUCACAUCCUGGGGCUGAAGUAGGUCCCAAGGGUAUGGCUGUUCGCCAUUUAAAGUGGUACGCGAGCUGGGUUUAGAACGUCGUGAGACAGUUCGGUCCCUAUCUGCCGUGGGCGCUGGAGAACUGAGGGGGGCUGCUCCUAGUACGAGAGGACCGGAGUGGACGCAUCACUGGUGUUCGGGUUGUCAUGCCAAUGGCACUGCCCGGUAGCUAAAUGCGGAAGAGAUAAGUGCUGAAAGCAUCUAAGCACGAAACUUGCCCCGAGAUGAGUUCUCCCUGACUCCUUGAGAGUCCUGAAGGAACGUUGAAGACGACGACGUUGAUAGGCCGGGUGUGUAAGCGCAGCGAUGCGUUGAGCUAACCGGUACUAAUGAACCGUGAGGCUUAACCUUACAACGCCGAAGGUGUUU
rnacentral:rRNA from 1 species